rnacentral:lncRNA from 1 species
GCGGACUGGCGUUGUUUUGGAAAAAUGAGAUCGACCUGCAAGUGACGUUCAGUUGCGAGAACUUCAUCGACACCACAAUCAAACACAAAGGACAACUUCUAUACGCAACAUUUGUAUAUGGCCACCCGGAUAAGAAAAAAAGGAAGGAUGUAUGGCAAAGAAUAACAACUACAGCACUAAGUAGAGACUCACCAUGGAUCCUAACCGGAGAUUUUAAUGAUAUGGUGAAUAGCUCUGAAAAAGAAGGGGGGCCCCCUAGAUCAGAGGAGUCGUUUGUAGAGUUUCGCUCGUUCAUGUCUGAAAAAUGAUCUAUAUGACAUUAAGCAUUUUGGAAACUUUUUAUCCUGGAGAGGGAAUCGAAGUAAUCACCAUGUAAAAUGCAGACUUGACAGAUCGGUGGCCAACAGUGCUUGGUUCUGCGCAUACCCUCUCGCGAGCGGUGAAUACCUGGCCUUCGAAGCGUCGGAUCACAGGCCUCUCAUCACCAGC